GCUCGAAAGAGAGCCGUAACACAGGUGCUGCAUGGCUGUCGUCAGCUCGUGUCGUGAGAUGUUGGGUUAAGUCCCGCAACGAGCGCAACCCUUGUCAUUAGUUGCUACAUUCAGUUGGGCACUCUAAUGAGACUGCCGGUGACAAGCCGGAGGAAGGUGGGGAUGACGUCAAGUCCUCAUGGCCCUUAUAGGUGGGGCUACACACGUCAUACAAUGGCUGGUACAAAGGGUUGCCAACCCGCGAGGGGGAGCCAAUCCCAUAAAGCCAGUCGUAGUCCGGAUCGUAGUCUGCAACUCGACUACGUGAAGUCGGAAUCGCUAGUAAUCGUGGAUCAGAAUGUCACGGUGAAUACGUUCCCGGGUCUU
rnacentral:rRNA from 1 species